UUACCGUGAAAAAAUUAGAGUGUUCAAAGCGGGCAGAUAUUUUUCCUGCCACCGAAUACAUUAGCAUGGGAUAAUGGAAUAGGACCCUGACCUCCUAUUUUCAGUUGGUUUUGUUUACAGCGAGGUUAUAUCAGGGUAAUGAUUAAUAGGGAUAGUUGGGGGCAUUAAUAUUUAAUUGUCAGAGGUGAAAUUCUUGGAUUUAUGAAAGAUUAACUUCUGCGAAAGCGUUUGCCAAGGAUGUUUUCAUUAAUCAAGAACGAAAGUUAGGGGAUCGAAGACGAUCAGAUACCGUCGUAGUCUUAACCAUAAACGAUGCCGACCAGCGAUUAGGAGACGUUGAAUACAAAACACCGCCGUUAAUCCUUUCGGGGGUUAAUGGUUGGUGAAUGACUCCCCUAGCAGCUUGUGA
rnacentral:rRNA from 1 species